GACAGCAGCCGCCGCGGUAAUACGUAGGGUGCAAGCGUUAAUCGGAAUUACUGGGCGUAAAGCGCACGCAGGCGGUUUGUUAAGUCAGAUGUGAAAUCCCCGAGCUUAACUUGGGAACUGCAUUUGAAACUGGCAAGCUAGAGUCUUGUAGAGGGGGGUAGAAUUCCAGGUGUAGCGGUGAAAUGCGUAGAGAUCUGGAGGAAUACCGGUGGCGAAGGCGGCCCCCUGGACAAAGACUGACGCUCAGGUGCGAAAGCGUGGGGAGCAAACAGGAUUAGAUACCCCUGUAGUCCCUGUCUCUUAUAC
rnacentral:rRNA from 1 species